AUGGGCGCAGGAGAACGAGCUCGCCGCCGCUGCAGCACGCUAGGCAACUGUCGCGGCCACAGACUAUGGGAAGGAGGAGGCCAACAAGGCAGGGGCGAUGUCAAGUUGAGAUGCGAGCAACACCGCAUCGGAAUGAUGAAGGAGAGGCUGCGUGACUCCAAGGUGAGGCCGGCGUUGCAGCAGCAAGCCGAGAGGAGCCUCGCCGGCAAGAGGGCCCUCGUCACCGGCAGAACCAAAGGAAUCGGGCGCGCGAUCGUGGAGGAGCUCACGGGGUUUGGCGUACGGGUGCACACCUGCUCCCGGAGCGACGCCGACCUGCAUGAGCGCCUGCGCGGUUGGCAGGCCGACGCGGACGCCGGCCGACUGCGCGGCCGCGUUCCGGGCUCCGCAUCCGACGUCUCCGUGCGCGGCGACAGGAAGCGGCUCGUGGCCACGGCCCGCGCCGAGAUGGGGGGCAAGCUGGACAUCCUCGUCAACAACGCCGGCCAGUCCUUCUACGGGGCGGCCACGGACUACGUUGCACGGAUACUUCAGAAAGCGCGCGUAUCCAGUUGGAUACUGCCCCGAUACGAUUCGAUACUUAUCCUGUAA
rnacentral:rRNA from 1 species